rnacentral:pre_miRNA from 1 species
UAAUGUACUAGAUCUUGACUUGUUUAUAAUAGAAUUACAAUUCAUUAUUAGAAUUAUCUAUUCACGGCUCGCGUGAGACAAACAUGGUUUCAUAUAAGUUAUAUA